GGGCGUAAAGCGCAUGCAGGUGGUUUGUUAAGUCAGAUCGUGAAAAGCCCGGGGCUCAACCUCGGAAUUGCAUUUGAAACUGGCAACUAGAGUACUGUAGAGGGGGUAGAAUUUCAGGUGUAGCGGUGAAAUGCGUAGAGAUCUGAAGGAAUACCGGUGGCGAAGGCGGCCCCCUGGACAGAUACUGACACUCAGACUGCGAAAGCGUGGGGAGCAAACAGGAUUAGAUACCCUGGUAG
rnacentral:rRNA from 1 species